CAGGCCUAACACAUGCAAGUCGAGCGGAUGAUGGGAGCUUGCUCCCGGAUUCAGCCGCUGACGGGUGAGUAAUGCCUAGGAAUCUGCCUGGUAGUGGGGGACAACGUUUCGAAAGGAACGCUAAUACCGCAUACGUCCUACGGGAGAAAGCAGGGGACCUUCGGGCCUUGCGCUAUCAGAUGAGCCUAGGUCGGAUUAGCUAGUUGGUGGGGUAAAGGCCUACCAAGGCGACGAUCCGUAACUGGUCUGAGAGGAUGAUCAGUCACACUGGAACUGAGACACGGUCCAGACUCCUACGGGAGGCAGCAGUGGGGAAUAUUGGACAAUGGGCGAAAGCCUGAUCCAGCCAUGCCGCGUGUGUGAAGAAGGUCUUCGGAUUGUAAAGCACUUUAAGUUGGGAGGAAGGGCAGUAAGUUAAUACCUUGCUGUUUUGACGUUACCAACAGAAUAAGCACCGGCUAACUUCGUGCCAGCAGCCGCGGUAAUACGAAGGGUGCAAGCGUUAAUCGGAAUUACUGGGCGUAAAGCGCGCGUAGGUGGUUUGGUAAGAUGGAUGUGAAAUCCCCGGGCUCAACCUGGGAACUGCAUCCAUAACUGCCUGACUAGAGUACGGUAGAGGGUGGUGGAAUUUCCUGUGUAGCGGUGAAAUGCGUAGAUAUAGGAAGGAACACCAGUGGCGAAGGCGACCACCUGGACUGAUACUGACACUGAGGUGCG
rnacentral:rRNA from 1 species